GCCCGCUUGGCUAAGUGGUAUAGCGUGUCACUAGUACUUGCUCUAGAUGUCAUGACAAGAUCAGCGGUUCGAUUCCGCUAGUGGGCA
rnacentral:tRNA from 1 species